ACUUUCACUCUUAUAUAAUUAUAAAAAGGGAGAAUUAAUUAAACUGGCAAUACGAGCUAAUGCCAGUUAUUUUGGCCACUAUAGUAACAAUAUUAGCCGAACAUGUAGAAAAAAGGUCACCUGGAGUCAUGAGCUUGCAGAUGAUUAGGUGCAUCUGCAAAUGUAAAUUUCAAUUUAUAGGCUUCUGCAACCAAAAUACCUAUUUCUGAAUCUGUCCAGUUUUGUGUAGGCAAGUUCUGUAGCAUCAACAUCAAGCCCUAUAUUUAAAACAAACACAUAAAAAGUACUAUGAUCAACGAUAUUAAAUCAUAAAAAUGUGUCGAUAUUUUUUUCUUAAUUAUGGAAGAAUACAAGUUAAACUUGCCUGAAAAUCAGGUUGUAAGAGUAAAUGACGUCUCCAACGAAGAAGAAAAGCUGCACAUACGUAAAGUUGAAACGAAGCGAAUCGAUCGGAUUCUGCUAAGUAGGUAUCCCACAGGCGAAUUGUACAAUGCAAUGGAAUUUCUCUGGUUAAUAAAUUAUUCAUCCAUCGAAAAGAAAAUUGUAAAUAAUCUAUCCCAUGUUGAUGAAGAUGUUGAUGUAAAGGAGCUAUAAUAGAAAAUUUUCGUAAUAUUUAUAGGUUAAUAAAAAAUUUGCGUUUUAUAUUCAUCAUAAAACAAAUACCAUCAAUCCUUUGAAUAAGUUCCUUUAAUUGAUUCACUUUAUGUUGUAUUCCUAAUUGGGCAAAUAUAUAAUUAUCUUGGAUACCAUCAAGAAAUUUGGAUAAACACCAAAAACUAUCUGCUUCAAUAAUAUCACGUUGUUCUUUUUUUAAAGAUGCCAAGUCAUAAUUUUCUAUAUCUUGCCAAGCCGAUACUGGUAUAGCCUCUUGCAAAAAUACUAAGAAGAAGGGAGUAACAAGAUCGUUCAUACCCUACAAUAUCAAAAUUAAAAUCAAUAUUUAAAUGCUUUUAGAAUAGGUAGAACAUAACAUGAAAUAGCUAUGAUAUAACAUGAAACAACAUUCAAUUAUAAUAUAAUAUUCAUACUUAUUAAUAUACCUGUACAUAGCCAGAAGCUGGAUGUCGAAUAGCCCAUAUAUAAAGUAUUCUUUCAAAAAUUAAUUGUACAGUUGUCUGUUGAAAUAAUGAAAUGAGGGGAGACAUUCUUGGAAUAUCAAUAUGAAUUUGACGAUAUGUAUCUUGGAAUCCUUCAUCUCUUUCCACAUCAUAAUACUGUUUUACUAGAUUCCAAUAAUCUAAACGUUUACGUUCUAAGACAUGUUGCCUCCUUUCUAUAUUUGCUGGAAGAUAUUCCUGUGUAUAAUAAAGAAUAAUUUAAUAAUACUUAUUUUUAAGGGGUAUAUUAAAAAAAUAAAUAUACGGUAUAGAUUACCUGUCUUACUUACAGACAAUAAUCUCCAGGUAACAGAUCGUAACUUCGCUGGAACACCUGACCACGAUAACUGUCUUAAUUCUUCUAAAUUUAAUACAGAUGCAUCCAAAAGAGAUUUAAAUUUAUCUAUUUUACUUUCUCCAUCUGAAAAUAAUAAUAUAUAUGUACGAAUAAAUAAUCAAGUUAGAAAUGAUCUAUAUUUUUUCUUACCUUGUUCUUUUGAAGGUAUAAAAAAUUUUGUAGAAGAAUUCGUUUGCCUUAAUGGAAGUGGUCUACCAGGAAAUUGUGUUGGCCUAUGUUGGGGAGAAGUAUUCUGACCAAAUUUGGAAUCAGAAUUUUCUGUAGAAUGCUGACUAUUAUUAAUUUGAGGAUAAACAGACAAGUUAGCAUUCCUUAGAUGCAAUGGCUGAACAGCUAAUCUUUGGAGAGCCUCUGCUUUUUUUUCUUCAGGAAUGAUUUCUUGAGUUCGCUGGACUAAUUUAGGAUUUGUUUGUAAUUCUUUACUUGCAGUGCCUGAUCUAUGACUGUUAAUUACACUAAGUGCAGCUGAAUGACUAACUCUCUUUGAUAUUUUUACGUCAGAAACUGUACAGAAUUCAUCAUCUCCGGAAUCCCAAGCAUCAUCCACGCUCUCCUGGAAAUCUUGAAAGGAUGUAGAACCACUUCCUCCACUUGUACUGCCACCACUACCGACUGAAACUGUACCGGUCAAACCACUGGAUGUGAUCAUUGUUGUACCUAUCUUAUCAUGUCUAACAUCUUGUUUGGGACUUGGCCUUUAAAUAAGUAUUGCAUUUUAAAUAAGACAUACCUGCCUGGUACAGCUCUAGUAUUUUUUUUCCAAAAAGAUUGAUGCGUUUGAAGAAUCUGAUUAUGAUGGCUUUGAUUCUCCAUUAUCUUAUGGAAUUGGAUUAACUGGCACAAGCCACUUUUCCGUAACCACCAUAGAAAUAAUGAUUCUCCUUCAUUACCUUAAAAACUAUUGCUAAAAUUUACAAGAUAUAAUUGUCAUAAAGAAUAAAAAUGUUAUAAUGUAUUAGUUAAAUACCUAUCAGUAUCUGUCAUGUAAUAUUAACACAUAUACUAAUUGAUUUGUAAAAACAUGUAUUAAUAUAAAUAAAAAAGCUUAUAAAAUUUA